rnacentral:rRNA from 1 species
GAUGAACGCUAGCGGCAGGCUUAAUACAUGCAAGUCGAGGGGCAGCAUGAUUGUAGCAAUACAAUUGAUGGCGACCGGCAAACGGGUGCGGAACACGUACACAACCUCCCAAUAAGUGGGGAAUAGCCCAGAGAAAUUUGGAUUAAUACCCCGUAACAUAACGAUGUGGCAUCACAUUGUUAUUAUAGAUUUUUCGCUUAUUGAUGGGUGUGCGGCUGAUUAGAUAGUUGGCGGGGUAACGGCCCACCAAGUCUACGAUCAGUAGCUGAUGUGAGAGCAGGGUCAGCCACAAGGGCACUGAGACACGGGCCCGACUCCUACGGGAGGCAGCAGUAAGGAAUAUUGGACAAUGGACGCAAGUCUGAUCCAGCCAUGCCGCGUGAAGGAUUAAGGUCCUCUGGAUUGUAAGCUUCUUUUAUAAGGGACGAAAAAAGGCUUUUCUAAGUCGUCUGACGGUACCUUAUGAAUAAGCACCGGCUAACUCCGUGCCAGCCGCCACGGUAACAC